CAAUUUAUUUACAAUAAUUUUUUAAGCUGUUCGAUUCAGCUUUUCUG
rnacentral:rRNA from 1 species